AAUAAAGUGCCUGAUAAAAGGAUUAUUUUGAUGUAAUAAAUAAUGUUAAUAAUUAACCUUUAUUU
rnacentral:tRNA from 1 species